CCUACGGGUGGCAGCAGUGAGGAAUAUUGGUCAAUGGACGAGAGUCUGAACCAGCCAAGUAGCGUGAAGGAUGACUGCCCUAUGGGUUGUAAACUUCUUUUAUAUGGGAAUAAAAUGUUCCACGUGUGGGAUUUUGUAUGUACCAUAUGAAUAAGGCUCGGCUAACUCCGUGCCAGCAGCCGGGGUAAUACGGGAGGUUCGAGCGUUUUCCGGAUUUAUUGGGUUUAAAGGGGGCGUAGGUGGGUUGUUAAGUUCGUUGUGAAAGUUUGCGGCACAAACGUCAAAUUGCAGUUGAAACUGGCAGUCUUGAGUACAAGAGAGGGAGGCGGAAUGCGUGGUGUAGCGGUGAAAUGCAUAGAUA
rnacentral:rRNA from 1 species